AUGUGUGAUGCAAAGGUGCUACAUGAUUAAACAGUGCAUCUGCCAGCUGUGAACUUCUGCAGCUCUGAUAAAUUAUGCAAGUCACUUGAUCCAUUCAGAUUUGACUCAGAAUAUUGGGUUGCACGUUAUUUUACAGUACGUGUACUAACGUACUUAUAGUGUACUUACAGUGUAUUUAUCUAAGAAGGUUCUGGUAACACAAGGUAACUACAUGGGGUAGGGUUAGAUUUAGGGGUACACUGUAAAAAAUAAUUCAGUGGCUUAGUAAAUUUCACAAAAAUAAAGAGCUAUAUUAACUUAAUAAAAUCUUUUGAAAUCAUUUAAGUGAUAUUUUGAGUGGGUCAGAUUAAAAAUAAUAAUUAAAAAUCCAACAAAUAAUUUCUCUAAAAUUUACAUAUAUUAUUUAAGUUUAUGUAAUGAAAAUAAAUAAGUAUUUAACUAACUAAUUAUAUUUUUAAUAUACCUUCAAUAUUUCUGGUGAAUUCUAAUAGAAAUAUUUGAUAAUUAUUUACUUGUACUGAUCUGUUUUAGAAACUAAAAUUAUUAAGUAUUUCCUACCAAUUUUCCUAAAUAAAGUUCCAGCUUAAUAAAUGACAGUUAAAUAAAUUGAGUAAAUUUCGCGGCUAAAGUGAUCACGUGUGCAGCUCCGCAGGAAAAAAAAAAAAUCUGCUUUCCUCAGCAGCGACGUCGACUAGCCAUACACCUCACAACUCCUGUUUCGUAGCUUAAUCGAAGUCACCUGAAGGACGGCUUUCCUCAGCAACGGCAAGGCCCGCACUCCUCUCAUAUUGUGGUACGUUAUAUAAUUUAUCCAGCUAGUUAAUACUAAUUAUGUUUGUAAUGUUUAAUUCAGAAGUUAAUUAUUAAGGAUUUCCUAACAAUUGUGUUUGUAUUUUGCGUCAUCUUAAGAAGUUUAACAAGUUUCGCGGCUCAAACAAGAGGCACCUGUCACUGAAGGACUGCUUUUCUCAGCUACGACGUGAACAGCAUCACUCGAAUUUCCUGGUUCAGCUGAUCUACCCAUCUUCGUACAAGCAGAGUUGGCAGAGGAGGUCAUAAAAAUCUACAUCCUUCGGGACAAUGAUGGGGCAGUCAGCGAUGUAAUCUUGGGAAUCACAGCAGAGCCUGCUGCCAUCUUUUGGGAGUCACAUUGGAUUUGAGAUAUCCCAAGACCCACAAAUACAGGUCCUUCUCCAAAAAUUAGCAUAUUGUGAUAAAGUUCAUUAUUUUCCUUAAUGUAAUGAUAAAAAUUAAACUUUCAUAUAUUUUAGAUUCAUUGCACACCAACUGAAAUAUUUCAGGUCUUUUAUUGUUUAAAUACUGAUGCUUUUGGCAUACAGCUCAUGAAAACCCAAAAUUCCUAUCUCAAAAAAUUAGCUUAUUUUUACCUUUAUUUUUAGCUUUAUUAUUUACCAAUAAAAGAAAUAUUAUUUACCAAUAAAAGAAAAGUGUUUUUAAUACAAAAAAGUCAACCU
rnacentral:lncRNA from 1 species